AAAGCGUGCGCGGGCGGUUAUAUAAGACAGAUGUGAAAUCCCCGGGCUCAACCUGGGAACUGCAUUUGUGACUGUAUAGCUGGAGUGCGGCAGAGGGGGAUGGAAUUCCGCGUGUAGCAGUGAAAUGCGUAGAUAUGCGGAGGAACACCGAUGGCGAAGGCAAUCCCCUGGGCCUGCACUGACGCUCAUGCACGAAAGCGUGGGGAGCAAACAGGAUUAGAUACCCCUGU
rnacentral:rRNA from 1 species